CCUACGGGUGGCAGCAGUGGGGAAUAUUGCACAAUGGGGGAAACCCUGAUGCAGCGACGCCGCGUGAGUGAAGAAGUAAUUCGGUAUGUAAAGCUCUAUCAGCAGGGAAGAAAAUGACGGUACCUGAGUAAGAAGCCCCGGCUAACUACGUGCCAGCAGCCGCGGUAAUACGUAGGGGGCAAGCGUUAUCCGGAUUUACUGGGUGUAAAGGGAGCGUAGACGGCAGUGCAAGUCUGGAGUGAAAGGCGGGGGCUCAACCCCCGGACUGCUCUGGAAACUGUGUGGCUGGAGUGCAGGAGAGGUAAGCGGAAUUCCUAGUGUAGCGGUGAAAUGCGUAGAUAUUAGGAGGAACACCAGUGGCGAAGGCGGCUUACUGGACUGUAACUGACGUUGAGGCUCGAAAGCGUGGGGAGCAAACAGGAUUAGAUACCCGUGUAGUC
rnacentral:rRNA from 1 species